rnacentral:rRNA from 1 species
ACUUUCAGCAACGGAUCUCUUGGCUCUCGCAUCGAUGAAGAACGCAGCGAAAUGCGAUACGUAAUGUGAAUUGCAGAAUUCCGUGAAUCAUCGAAUCUUUGAACGCACAUUGCGCCUUUGGUCCAAACCAAAGGCAUGCCUGUUUGAGUGUCAUUACAAUCUUCUUCUAAUGAAUUUUUUUCGUAAAAAUUUUUCAUUGGAAUGGUGUUGAACUAGAAUUUUAGUGUUUUCUUUUUUAAACACAAAAUUCGGUUUGAAAUGAAAGGUUUUUAAGCAAACAAAAACGAAAUUGACGUUUUUUUUCUUCUUUUUUUUUACCAUUUUUUGAACGCAAUAGGUUUUACCACUUGGUUCAGAAGAUUGGUUUAAAAAAAAAAAGAAAUCUUUUUUCGUUGCUAGUCUUUGAACCAAAAAGUUUUCCUAAAAAGUUUACAUUUUAUUUGUUGACCUCAAAUCAGGUAGGACUACGCGCUGAACUUAAGCAUAUCAAUAAGCGCAGGAAAAGAAAAUAACCAUGAUUCCCCCAGUAACGGCGAGUGAAGCGGGAAAAGCUCAAAUUUGAAAUCUGGCAACAUUUCUUUUGUUGUCCGAGUUGUAAUUUCAAGAAGCUGCUUUGAGUGUACACGGUUUACCUAAGUUCCUUGGAACAGGACGUCAUAGAGGGUGAGAACCCGUCUUGGUAAGCUGGGCGUAUGCCGGAUAAAGCGCUUUCGAAGAGUCGAGUUGUUUGGGAAUGCAGCUCUAAAUGGUGGUAAAUUUCAUCUAAAGCUAAAUAUUGGCGAGAGACCGAUAGCGAACAAGUAGAGUGAUCGAAAGAUGAAAAGAACUUUGAAAAGAGAGUUAAAUAGUACGUGAAAUUGCUGAAAGGACGAAGCAUUGGAAACCAGUCUUACCCGGGUGAGAUCAGUUGCCUUUUCGCAAGGCGAUGCACUCUGAACCUGUUGGUAGGUCAGCAUCAGUUUCUGGGGGUGGAAAAAGGAUCUAGGAAGGUACCUUUUCGGGUUCUGCCUGAAGAGGGUUUAUAGCCUAGGUUGUAAUACAUCCACUGGGGACUGAGGACUGCGAUCUUUAUGGUCAAGGAUGUUGACAUAAUGGUUUUCAAUGACCCGUCUUGAAACACGGACCAAGGAGUCUAGCAUCUAUGCGAGUGUUUGGGUGAUGAAAACCCAUCCGCGAAAUGAAAGUGAAUGCAGGUGGGACCGUCCUUUUUGUGGCGCGCACCACCGACCGACCUGGAAGGUUUUUACUGGAAAGGUUUGAGUAAGAGCAUAGCUGUUGGGACCCGAAAGAUGGUGAACUAUGCCUGAAUAGGGUGAAGCCAGAGGAAACUCUGGUGGAGGCUCGUAGAGAUUCUGACGUGCAAAUCGAUCUUCAAAUUUGGGUAUAGGGGCGAAAGACUAAUCGAACCAUCUAGUAGCUGGUUCCUGCCGAAGUUUCCCUCAGGAUAGCAGAAACUCAGAUCAGUUUUAUGAGGUAAAGCGAAUGAUUAGAGGUCUUGGGGAAGGAAUUUCCUCAACCUAUUCUCAAACUUUAAAUAUGUAAGACGCCCUUGUCGCUUAAUUGGACGUGGGCCAUCGAAUGAGAGUUUCUAGUGGGCCAUUUUUGGUAAGCAGAACUGGCGAUGCGGGAUGAACCGAACGUGAGGUUAAGGUGCCGGAAUGUACGCUCAUCAGACACCAGCAAAAGGUGUUAGUUCAUCUAGACAGCAGGACGGUGGCCAUGGAAGUCGGAAUCCGCUAAGGAGUGUGUAACAACUCACCUGCCGAAUGAACUAGCCCUGAAAUGGAUGGCGCUUAAGCGUACUACCCAUACCUCACCGUCUGGGUUAUGUAUAAUUGAGAAGCUCAGACGAGUAGGCGGGCGUGGAGGUUUGUGACGAAGCCUUGGGCGUGAGCCUGGGUCGAACAGCCUCUAGUGCAGAUCUUGUGGAAGUAGCAAUAUUCAAAUGAGAACUUUGAAGACUGAAGUGGGGAAAGGUCCAUGGGAACAGCAGUGGCCAUGGGUUAGUCGAUCCUAAGAGAUAGGGAAGCUCCGUAUGAAAGUUGCACGAUUUUCGUGCCUCCUAUCGAAGGGAAUCCGGUUAAUAUUCCGGAACCAGAAGGUGAAUCAACACGGCAACGUAAUGAAGUUGGAGACGUCGGCAGGAGCCCUGGGAAGAGUUCUCUUUUCUUUUAACAACCACGAACUUACCCUGAAUCGGUUUAUCCGGAGCUAGGGUAUGGUGUUGGAAGAGUUCAGCGCCUCAUGCUGGAUCCGGUGCGCUCUUGACGACCCUUGAAAAUCCAACGAAGAAUGGGGGUUUCGGCUCCUCUUGUUUUCACAUCUGGUCGUACUCAUAACGCAGCAGGUCUCCAAGGUGAACAGCCUCUAGUGAUAGAACAAUGUAGAUAAGGGAAGUCGGCAAAUGGAUCCGUAACUUCGGGAUAAGGAUUGGCUCUAAGGUUGGGUACGUUGGGCCUUGAAACUGAACAGUUGCUGGUCCGGAUUCGGCGGACUGGAUGUUUUGCCUUUCGGGUAGAGACGUCUGGACUGCUGGCUGGACCUUGGCGGCUGGAUUUUCCUUGGUAAGGCUGCUCUCUUCCACGGGGUAUGCCCUUACUGGCGUACAAUUAACACCAACUUAGAACUGGUACGGACAAGGGAAUCUGACUGUCUAUUAAACAUAGCAUUGCCUUGCCUAUUUGCGUGUCUCAGAUUUCUGCCCAGUGCUCUGAAUGUCAAAGUGAAGAAUUCAACCAGCGCGGGUAAACGGCGGAGUAACUAUGACUCUCUUAAGGUAGCCAAAUGCUCGUCAUCUAACUAGUGACGCGCAUGAAUGGAUUAACGAGAUUCCACUGUCCCUAUCUACUAUCUAGCGAAACCACAGCCAGGGAACGGGCCUGGAAAAAUCAGCGGGAAAGAAGACCCUGUUGAGCUUGACUCUAGUUGACAUUGUGAAGAGACAUAGAGGUGUAGGAUAAGUGGGAGUGUAGGGACUCUCUGCACGCCGGUGAAUACCACUACCUUUAUCGUUUCUUUACUUAAUCAAUGAAGCGGAAUUGGGAUUAGUUCCACAUUCUAGCCUUAAGGUCCUUUGCGAACUGAUCCGCGUUGAUGACAUGUCAGGUGGGGAGUUUGGCUGGGCGGCACAUCUGUUAAAAGAUAACGCAGGUGUCCUAAGGGGGGCUCAUCGAGAACAGAAUCUCGAGUAGAAUAAAAGGGUAAAGCCCCUUGAUUUGAUUUUCAGUGUGAAUACAAACCAUGAAGUGUGGCCUAUCGAUCCUUUGUUGCCUCGAAAUUUGAGGACAGAGGUGCCAGAAAAGUUACACAGGAUAACUGGCUUGUGGCAGCCAAGCGUUCAUAGCGACGUUGCUUUUGAUUCUUCGAUGUCGGCUCUUCCUAUCAUACCGAGCAGAAUUCGGUAAGCGUUGGAUUGUUCACCCAUAAUAGGGAACGUGAGCUGGUUUAGACCGUCGUGAGACAGGUAGUUUACCUACUGAUGAAGUGUCGUCGCAAUGGUAAUUCAACUUAGUACGAGAGGAACCGUUGAUUCAGAUCAUUGGAUUUGCGGCUGCCUGACAAGGCAAUGCCGCGGAGCUAUCAUCUGCUGGAUAAGGCUGAACGCCUCUAAGCCCGAAUCCAUGCCAGAAAGCGACGAUUUGUUGGUCCGCAUAAUUAAUGUGUAUACAAAUAGAGUUUUUAAACUCCUGCAUCAUAGAAGAUGGGCGUCGGUUGAUAAGACGGAAGUUGUCUUGUUGACUUGUCCAUGAAAUUCCAUUGAAAACUUGUGCGGAGUCGAAUCCAUUGCAUACGACUUUAAUGUGGAACGGGGUAUUGUAAGCAGUAGAGUAGCCUUGUUGUUACGAUCUGCUGAGAUUAAGCCUUUGUUCCCAAGAUUUGUUCCAUAAGGAACACAUCAUCCUCUUUAUUUUAUUUUAUCUCUUAUUUUUCUUUAAUGACUUGCUAUUUU